CUGCUUAGAUGUGGAUAGGUGUCAGUGCUAGCUUGAGUUUGAAACAGUCACAUGUUCAGGCAAGCAGGGGCCUAGAGGACUGAAAGUACGCUGGGGAGAUGGCUUUCUGGGAAUGGAUGAGAGGUCUGGUCUCCAAUAUCCCUGCCUCAUCUUAUUCAGGUAGCGGGAAGUAGAAGAGGCAAGGAACAGCCAGAAAAGGAGACGGUCACAUGGUCCUUGGAAGCUUCGUACAGGCUGAGGCUAAUGGCUCCUGCUAUCACCUUUGUUUUUAGUAAUGCCGAGCACUCUGACAACCUUUGUUCUCUCUUUCUCACUUUUAAAAUUCUCUGUGGCAUUUUGUAAAAGUAGAUUUAGUAAACUCAGCUGAAAUGUCGCUUCAUUCCUUCUUGUGCAUCAUAUUGCUCAGCUUAAUUUAUAAACUUCUUUAGGUCAAUCAGGAUAAAAAAAAUAAAAGUCCUACCAUAUAUGUAAAUGUAA